ACAGUUUGGAAACUCUUGUUUUAAUUGAGAUGUUUCUACGGUAGAGGACAUUUGGAAAACUUGAAAGAAUUCUCGAGGGCUGUCGUGUGGAAUCGUAGCGACGUUCAGGGGACGUAAGAAGCAAAUACAUAGGUAGCACCACUUGAACCUUUGGUUCUUAAGGAAUUAGUAGGCAUUCUGGUUUCCGCUGCAGCGUGAAAGAAGAUGUAGGGAAGAGCUGGGACGUAAGAGCCAGGCGCACGGCUUCCUUCCAGAACCUCCUGUACAGCGGAGUCUUCUCCCUCCUGGGGCCCACGUGCCAGGGACCCACCUUCUCCAUCAGGGCUGUGUGAGAGAGGAGCCGAGUGAAGACAGCACCUCGAGGUUUCUGGUCUCCUCCAGAGUGAGUGGCAGAGAGCUGUGUGAUCUUGGGUCGGGCCCUCGGGGCACACGGCUUGCUCGGGGGUCGGGCGGCGGUCCACAGGGCCAUCUGGUGGCCGUCCCCUGACUCUCUGGCCGGGUUGUUUUCCUCUUUUGCAGAUCAUCCAGUCACUCGAUGGGGAUUACCAGCGGACCACCUGUUUGUAUCACCUUCCCACCUCUCUGUAGCAAGAAAAAUCACUUCAGCACCUCUUCAGUAAUAAUGAUGAAACUGGUAUUAACUGAAUGGCAAUUAUGGAUUUUUAACUCUAAUUCACAGUAAACCAGCAAGCCAUAUGUUUAAAAUCCAACCAAAAAUCGUUCUGUGUUGCUGCAUGUCUCAUACCGUUGUGAGAAGUUGUGAGAUAGCCACUUGUGCAAAGAGGAAUGUAAGUGUUACCUGCCCGAGGAACACAGCAGAAGCAGAAAGAGAAGACGUCUUAAUUUAUCAUUACAGAUAUAUGAAAGCAUUAUUUAUAUAGAUAGAAUAUAUAGAUAAAUACAUAUAUUUUUGGUGGUAAUGAAAAUGGCUCCGCAGAAUGCCGACCCGGAAUCUAUGCAAGUUAUCCGUGCCCCAGCCCUUCUGUGCCACACUCUGAUUCUUUGUGUGUAAAGUGAUUGCAUUCGCAAACCAACCCUAAGAGGGUCCCAGGUGUGCUUAGAACAGUGCCUGGCUGUGGGAGAUACUGGAAGAUGCUGUCAUCUUAUCAUUGUUGCUGUUGACUUGAAUCCAAGGUUAUUGUGGACAGUAGAUGGCUCAGAGACAGGCAUUUCCAAAAGCAUGGAAAUUCACAGGCACGCACAGGUGGGCAUGAAAACACGGAAAAUCACAGACGCACAGGUGGGCAUGAAAACACAGAAAUUCACAGACACACGCAGGUGGGCAUGAAAACACGGAAAUUCACAGACACACAGGUGGGCAUGAAAACACGGAAAUUCACAGACACGCAGGUGGGCAUGAAAACACGGAAAUUCACAGACCCGCAGUUGCAGGUGGGCGUGAAAACACGGAAAUUCACAGACACUCGCAGGUGGGCGUGAAAACACGGAAAUUCACAGACACUCGCAGGUGGGCGUGAAAACACGGAAAUUCACAGACACAGGUGGGUGUGAAAACACGGAAAUUCACAGACGCACAGGUGGGUGUGAAAACACGGAAAUUCGCGGACACGCACAGGUGGGCGUGAAAACACGGAAAUUCACAGACACGCAGGUGGGCAUGAAAACACGAAAAUUCACAGACACACAGGUGGAUAUGAAAACAGAAAUUCACAGACACGGGCAGGUGGGCAUGAAAACACGGAAAUUCACAGACACGCAGGUGGGCGUGAAAACACGGAAAUUCACAGACGCACAGGUGGGCGUGAAAACGGAAAUUCACAGACGCAGGUGGGCAUGAAAACACGGAAAUUCGCAGGUGGGCGUGAAAACACGGAAAUUCACAGACGCACAGGUGGGCGUGAAAACACGGAAAUUCACAGACGCACAGGUGGGCGUGAAAACACGGAAAUUCACAGACGCACAGGUGGGCGUGAAAACAUGGAAAUUCACAGACACGCAGGUGGGCGUGAAAACACGGAAAUUCACAGACGCGCAGGUGGGCGUGAAAACACGGAAAUUAACAGAGACGCACAGGUUGGCAUGACCAGGCUCGCAUGGGCAAGAUGUGGUGUCUCUUCCAGAUUACCGGGCAGCAGAGCGGGGACCCUGUAGGGAGUCCCCACUGGGAGUGUCUUGGGCCCUAAAAAUUUUGUCAGAAUGUUUAUUUUCUUUAUGACCUAAGGAAGUUUUAAAAAAAUCUGUCAUUUUCCAAACCCUUAGCAAUAUAAGGUAUCUGGUAAGAGGCAGACAGUUUAGAAGCAUCCGUUUUAUUCUAGAAUUCAACAUAUUGCAUGGUAAAGUAUUUUCAAGCCUACUUAUUUUGGUUGUUUUAGGGAUGUUUGUUGAUACAAACAUAAUAAAGUGUUUCUUGUUCCGUGAGCGCUCACUCAGCCUCGCUGCAGUGCGGAUCCCUCGGUUAUGUGCACGGAUCUGACUCCAGUGUGAAAUCGUAGCAUUUUCUUUGAUUGUGCACCACCACGCCCAUCUAAUUUUUGUAUUUUUUGUAGAGAUGGGGUUUCACCGUAUGUUGCCCAGGCUGGUUUCGAACUUCUGGGCUCAAGCCAUCUGCCCACCUCAGCCUCGCCAAGUGCUGUAAUUACAGAUGUGAGCUACAGGCCUAGCCUGUUUUGUUUUUUUAUAUAUUCUUACACUUUAUUGAGACGAGGUUUUGCUAUGUCACCCAGGCCAGUCUUGAACUCUUGGGGAGGUAGCAGCAGCCAGCAACCCAAUGUUGGCUCCUCUUGGAGAAUCCAAAAAUCGACCAUGUUCCAAGUGUGUAGCCUUACUUAUCUCAGCAGAUACCAGCAUCUCCUUUCUUCUGGAAACGUGUGCAGAGUUGACACAUAUGAUGUGCUUAGAACAGAGCCUGUAAUUGUUAGCUGUUAUUACUGUCAUUAUCUUUUUCUCCACUUGGGUUCGUAGUCAGCAGCCUUGGUGGUAACUUGUCGAGGGCCUGCCUCACACUUACUGUGGAAAAGUCACUCAGUGGGGCAGUUUGCACCUCAUUCAUUGCACCCCACUCUAGCCCAGCCUCCACCUCCACACCGCCCCCCCCCCCCACCCACGUCUUCUUGCUGAAUGCGCAGGGAUGUCCUCAUUUCCAAACUCAGAGGUUUUCUGGGCCCUGGUGCUGGCCCUGUCUCCCAUCGCACAGGGCUGAGUGGGCCUGGUUUCCGGCUCUGCCCUCCCUCACUCUUGUCCUGUGUGUGUCCCGUCCUGAGCCCCGUCGGUGUCACACUGGACAACUCCAGGGUCUGUCACAUUCAGUAUGUUUGAGAGAGCAGUGCUUUCGAAAAUGGUGGCAUCUUGGAUUUGAUGAAAUACAGCCCAUCUCCAGGCCAGACUUGUCUCUGCAGCUGUUUACUGCUCACAUCCGCCUGGCCUGGCCCCUCUGCAUGCUCCCACUCAACGCACUCCACACACUUUUUAAAAGCGUGUUGUGGAACCAGGCUGCUCUGGAACUCUUUGGGAGCCGACCUUUCCAAAGAGCCAGCCCCCAGUCUCUGAGUCACGCUCAGCUCCGUUGGAGCACCCCUUCCCGCUGGGAUGUGUUUUUCCCAUGUAGCCUUUUUCCCUCGGGAAGGAGAAGUCCAGUCUCCCCUCCUGUUGAUUGUUUUCUUCUUGGUUCAGGAAGUAUACUCAGGGGAAAAGGAAAAUCAUGUAAAAGAAAAAAGGGGCGUUCUUUUGUUGCAGUCUCAGUUUGACUCAUGAGUUAGAACUGGAUUAACGUGAGAGCCUAACUUCUCUCCACUCGACGAAGAUCGUGAGCAAUAGAACAUCCGAGAAUGAAUAAGUGACGUCUGCAGAUUUAUUUGUGGGGGAAGUCAGGUUUAUUCUUGUCCGUCUCAAUUCAGGAGGCUGGGCGUAAUGACUAAAGCUAUGCUCACUUUAUAUCUGUCCAUUUGUUUAAAACACCAGACUUUCCAUUCUUCAUUGUCGUUUCGUGUGAAUCGAGAUUCCUAGGAUACGGUUUGUUGUAGCUGGAAGCUCGCCUUUUCUUC
rnacentral:lncRNA from 1 species